rnacentral:rRNA from 1 species
GGAUCCAGACUUUGAUCAUGGCUCAGGAUGAACGCUAGCGACAGGCUUAACACAUGCAAGUCGAGGGGCAGCAUGAUUUGUAGCAAUACAGAUUGAUGGCGACCGGCGCACGGGUGAGUAACGCGUAUGCAACUUACCUAUCAGAGGGGGAUAGCCCGGCGAAAGUCGGAUUAAUACCCCAUAAAACAGGGGUCCCGCAUGGGAAUAUUUGUUAAAGAUUCAUCGCUGAUAGAUAGGCAUGCGUUCCAUUAGGCAGUUGGCGGGGUAACGGCCCACCAAACCGACGAUGGAUAGGGGUUCUGAGAGGAAGGUCCCCCACAUUGGUACUGGGACACGGACCAAACUCCUACGGGAGGCAGCAGUGAGGAAUAUUGGUCAAUGGCCGAGAGGCUGAACCAGCCAAGUCGCGUGAAGGAAGAAGGAUCUAUGGUUUGUAAACUUCUUUUAUAGGGGAAUAAAGUGGAGGACGUGUCCUUUUUUGUAUGUACCCUAUGAAUAAGCAUCGGCUAACUCCGUGCCAGCAGCCGCGGUAAUACGGAGGAUGCGAGCGUUAUCCGGAUUUAUUGGGUUUAAAGGGUGCGUAGGUGGUGAUUUAAGUCAGCGGUGAAAGUUUGUGGCUCAACCAUAAAAUUGCCGUUGAAACUGGGUUACUUGAGUGUGUUUGAGGUAGGCGGAAUGCGUGGUGUAGCGGUGAAAUGCAUAGAUAUCACGCAGAACUCCGAUUGCGAAGGCAGCUUACUAAACCAUAACUGACACUGAAGCACGAAAGCGUGGGGAUCAAACAGGAUUAGAUACCCUGGUAGUCCACGCAGUAAACGAUGAUUACUAGGAGUUUGCGAUACAAUGUAAGCUCUACAGCGAAAGCGUUAAGUAA